rnacentral:misc_RNA from 1 species
UCCGAGUUGACCCCGGCAGUCUCUUACGAGUCCCCACCAUUACGUGCUGGCAACAUAAGACAAGGGUUGCGCUCGUUGCGGGACUUAACCCAACAUCUCACGACACGAGCUGACGACAGCCAUGCACCACCUGUAUACCGACCACAAGGGAAACCACAUCUCUGCAGUCGUCCGGUAUAUGUCAAACCCAGGUAAGGUUCUUCGCGUAUCAUCGAAUUAAACCACAUGCUCCUCUGCUUGUGCGGGCCCCCGUCAAUUCCUUUGAGUUUCAGCCUUGCGGCCGUACUCCCCAGGCGGGGCACUUAAUGCGUUAGCGCCGGCACUCAAGGGGUCGCUCCCCCAAGCACCUAGUGCCCAUCGUUUACGGCGUGGACUAC